rnacentral:lncRNA from 1 species
GAGAGAAAGAGAGGUAGAAAGAGAAAGUAGAAAAGAAGAGUUUUAGAGACAAGAUCAAGAGUAGAAGGAGAACUUGGAAAUUGAAGAAGAAGGAGUAAAGAUUCCAACUUUGUUAAGGUAAGAGAGUAGUUGUUAAAUUUAUGAGAGAUGAUUCAAGAGAGGGGAGAAGGAAUCCUUCUCCAUUCUCAAACUCUCUCAUCUCUAGGUUUGGGUUGGGUUGAUGGAAAUAUAAUUUUUUUAUGAAGUUUUGGUGAUUGUUAUAUGAAUCUACAUAUUCAUUGAUGUUAGUUGUAUGAUUUAAUCUGUGAAAAAUGAUCACUUGAUGUUGUUGUUGUUGAUUUUUACAUGAUUUUCAUGAGUUUUG